UUUGAUCCUGGCUCAGAUUGAACGCUAGCGGCAUGCCUUACACAUGCAAGUCGAACGCCCCCACGGGGGCAACCCUGGUGGCGAGUGGCGAACGGGUGAGUAAUGCAUCGGAACGUGCCCAUCGAUGGGGGAUAACUGCGCGAAAGCGUUGCUAAUACCGCAUACGACCUACGGGUGAAAGCAGGGGACCGCAAGGCCUUGCGUCGAUGGAGCGGCCGAUGUCGGAUUAGCUAGUUGGUGAGGUAAGAGCUCACCAAGGCGACGAUCCGUAGCUGGUCUGAGAGGACGACUAGCCACACUGGGACUGAGACACGGCCCAGACUCCUACGGGAGGCAGCAGUGGGGAAUCUUGGACAAUGGGCGAAAGCCUGAUCCAGCAAUGCCGCGUGUGGGAAGAAGGCCUUCGGGUUGUAAACCACUUUUGGCAGGAAAGAAAUCGUUUGCGCUAAUACCGCGAAUGGAUGACGGUACCUGCAGAAUAAGCACCGGCUAACUACGUGCCAGCAGCCGCGGUAAUACGUAGGGUGCGAGCGUUAAUCGGAAUUACUGGGCGUAAAGCGUGCGCAGGCGGUUGGGAAAGAUAGAUGUGAAAGCCCUGGGCUCAACCUAGGAAUUGCAUUUGUGACUAUU
rnacentral:rRNA from 1 species